rnacentral:misc_RNA from 1 species
GAUGAAGAACGUAGCGAAAUGCGAUACGUAAUGUGAAUUGCAGAAUUCAGUGAAUCAUCGAGUCUUUGAACGCACAUUGCGCCCCCCAGUAUUCUGGCGGGCAUGCCUGUUCGAGCGUCAUUUCAACCAUCAAGCCCUGCUUGUGUUGGGGUCCUGCGGCUGCCCGCAGGCCCUGAAAACCAGUGGCGGGCUCGCUAGUCACACCGAGCGCAGUAGCACAUCUCGCUCAGGGCGUGCGGCGGGCUCCAGCCGUUAAAGCACCCACCUUUCGCAAGGUUGACCUCGGAUCAGGUAGGAAUACCCGCUGAACUUAAGCAUAUCAAUAAGCGGAGGA